rnacentral:rRNA from 1 species
AGAACGCAGCGAAAUGCGAUACGUAAUGUGAAUUGCAAAUUCAGUGAAUCAUCGAGUCUUUGAACGCACAUUGCGCCCCCUGGUAUUCCGGGGGGCAUGCCUGUCCGAGCGUCAUUGCUGCCCUCAAGCCCGGCUUGUGUGUUGGGCCCCGUCCUCCGAUUCCGGGGGACGGGCCCGAAAGGCAGCGGCGGCACCGCGUCCGGUCCUCGAGCGUAUGGGGCUUUGUCACCCGCUCUGUAGGCCCGGCCGGCGCUUGCCGAUCAACCCAAAUUUUUAUCCAGGUUGACCUCGGAUCAGGUAGGGAUACCCGCUGAACUUAAGCAUAUCA